rnacentral:rRNA from 1 species
UACGGAGGGUGCGAGCGUUGUCCGGAAUCACUGGGCGUAAAGGGCGCGUAGGUGGCACGGGUAGUCGUCGGUGAAAGCUCAGGGCUCAACCCUGAGUCGGCCGGUGAUACUCCCGAGCUCGAGUGUGGUAGAGGCCAAUGGAAUUCCGGGUGUAGCGGUGGAAUGCGUAGAGAUCCGGAAGAACACCGGUGGCGAAGGCGGGUCUCUGGGCCGAUACUGACGCUGAGGAGCGAAAGCGUGGGGAGCGAACAGG